rnacentral:rRNA from 1 species
GGCGAACGGGUGAGGAACACGUGAAGAAUCUGCCUUCAACUCUGGGAUAACUCCGGGAAACCGGGGCUAAUACCGGAUAUGAGAUCUGCAGGCAUCUGCGGAUCUGGAAAGUUUUUCGGUUGAAGAUGACUUCGCGGCCUAUCAGCUUGUUGGUGAGGUAAAGGCUCACCAAGGCGACGACGGGUAGCCGGCCUGAGAGGGCGACCGGCCACACUGGGACUGAGACACGGCCCAGACUCCUACGGGAGGCAGCAGUGGGGAAUAUUGGGCAAUGGAGGGAACUCUGACCCAGCGACGCCGCGUGCGGGAUGAAGGCCUUCGGGUUGUAAACCGCUUUCAGCAGGGAAUAAGCGCAAGUGAAGGUACCUGCAGAAGAAGCACCGGCUAACUAUGUGCCAGCAGCCGCGGUAAUACAUAGGGUGCAAGCGUUGUCCGGAAUUAUUGGGCGUAAAGAGCUCGUAGGUGGUUAGUUACGUCGGAUGUGAAAAUCAGGGGCUCAACCCCUGACCUGCAUCCGAUACGGACUAGCUAGAGUUUGGUAGGGGAGACUGGAAUUCCUGGUGUAGCGGUGGAAUGCGCAGAUAUCAGGAGGAACACCGAUGGCGAAGGCAGGUCUCUGGGCCAAUACUGACACUGAGGAGCGAAAGCGUGGGGAGCGAACAGGAUUAGAUACCCUGGUAGUCCACGCCGU